rnacentral:rRNA from 1 species
AUUGAACGCUGGCGGCAGGCUUAACACAUGCAAGUCGAGCGGGGUGAUGGUGCUUGCACUAUCACUUAGCGGCGGACGGGUGAGUAAUGCUUAGGAAUCUGCCUAUUAGUGGGGGACAACAUCUCGAAAGGGAUGCUAAUACCGCAUACGUCCUACGGGGGAAAGCAGGGGAUCACUUGUGACCUUGCGCUAAUAGAUGAGCCUAAGUCGGAUUAGCUAGUUGGUGGGGUAAAGGCCUACCAAGGCGACGAUCUGUAGCGGGUCUGAGAGGAUGAUCCGCCACACUGGGACUGAGACACGGCCCAGACUCCUACGGGAGGCAGCAGUGGGGAAUAUUGGACAAUGGGGGGAACCCUGAUCCAGCCAUGCCGCGUGUGUGAAGAAGGCCUUAUGGUUGUAAAGCACUUUAAGCGAGGAGGAGGCUCUUUUGGUUAAUACCCAGAAUGAGUGGACGUUACUCGCAGAAUAAGCACCGGCUAACUCUGUGCCAGCCGCCGCAGUAA